UUUUGCUAUCUGCAACUUUCCAUCCCUUCUCGUUUAUCCUCUGAGAUUUUAGUGUUAGACUUUAUUGUUUGUUUUCUUGAUGGCCGCAUUUUGAAUGUCUAUUGAAGGUUUACACUUUUUGUAUUUUCAAAAUUUAUCUCAUAAAUGAUAUGAAUUAUGUCAAGGAAAGCGUAUUCUAUAUUUGUUUAUGUGUAACGUUGGGCUCUUUUCUGUGGUUAUAGCUACUGGGUUCAGAAAAAUAAGUUAUGGUAGCUGGAGGUUAACAUUUCACCUUUGUUUUGAUUUUGUUCUUUUCUUCUAAUAAAACUUCCCUCCAAGUGCCUUGGGUAUUUUUUUCCCCACCAAUUCAACGCAUAGACAACAGAGACUUCAUUAACCUUAUUUUAUCAGAUAUUCACUCAUAGUACUUAGUUUCGUUUUCUGAUUUGCUAGAUGAAAAAUAUUGUAGGCUUCUGAAGAUCUAAUGAAAUUGGUGGUCUACCUAGAUGAUUGUGAGAACUAAGUACCGGAGCAGUACAUAGAUGGAAAUGACGUACACAUGAACAAGAUUGAGUAACAUGGUAUAUGGAAAUCAAUUCGUGGUGUUAUCCUCUUUCAUUGGAUCCAUAUAAGAAGAUAUUCUCCUGAGCAAUUAUAUGCUGUCGUUGCUGCUGUUUACUUAUAUGAUGAUUUUCUUCCCUGGUGGCGCUCAGAGAUCAUUAGGCACCAUCCAGAUGGAUCUUUGGAUGCUGAACUAGAAAUUGGUUUCAAAUUUCUCAUUGGAAGUUACGUGUUCCAUGUGGAGUUGAACAAAUCAAAAUCUGUAAAGGUUGUUGAAAAGUUGAUCGGUUGAGUAAGGAGGAGAUUUUCAAUUUAAUGAGGAAAAUUUGCAGUCUGAUCCUGCCUGGAAGUAUUUAAUGGCACAUAAAGCAAUCCAGCAGGGUGAGAAGGUUGUUCGAUGACGUUAAUUUUCAUAUUUGUUGAAACAGACUUAGCUGCUUGGAGUCUGAUUGAAGUAACGAUUCUGAGGCACAAGGUUGUGGACAAAAUUCUCUAGUAGUAAAUUUUAUUAAUGUGUGUGUCUGAUCUUGCUGUCUUGGAAAAGGAAAUAAAAAGUGAAAAAGAUUGUUUGGACAUUCUUUUGAUUAUGUCAAGCUCAAAAUCAAGGAUGACUUUCCUCAACCCAAUGUUGCGUGGGAAAGAGUUAGCCAUCACAAAUUACUGUAUAUUGAAAUAUCUCUAACUCGCUAUAGAAAUUUGACCAAUUAGGUUCAUUACUAUCCUCAUAUUUUGUAUAUAUUUUCGUUAUGAUGGAUUGCUAAAUAGAUUGCAUGGAUAGCUCAGUCCUAAAAUUUUCUUUUCCUGCUCAUGUAAUCCGUAAUGGGUAUUAAUUACAAUGAUGAA